rnacentral:rRNA from 1 species
AGAGAGAGACAUGCGCGCAUAUCAAUAAGCGGAGGAAAAGAAACUAACAAGGAUUCCCCUUAGUAACGGCGAGUGAAGCGGGAAGAGCUCAAAUUUGAAAUCUUCAAGGUUCUACCUUGACGAAUUGUAGUUUAUAAGAAGUGUUUUCGGUUAGAUGGAGUAGUCAAAAGUUCUUUGGAAUAGGACAUCAUAGAGGGUGAGAAUCCCGUAUUUGACCAUUAUUUUCAGCUUGUGGAUACACUUUCAAAGAGUCGGAUUGUUUGGGAAUGCAGUCCAAAAUGGGUGGUAAAUUUCAUCUAAAGCUAAAUAUUGGCGAGAGACCGAUAGCGAACAAGUACCGUGAGGGAAAGAUGAAAAGAACUUUGAAAAGAGAGUUAAACAGUACGUGAAAUUGUCAAAAGGGAAGCGUUUGACACCAGUGUUGUUUUCUCGAAAAUCAAUUAAAAAAGGCUGGAUUUUGUGUUGUAUUGACCUUAUCAAGCUUUCUUCACUCUUUUCUUGUCCUUUUUUAAUGCACUUUUCGUUUAACAAGUCAACAUCAGUUUCUUUUGUUGUAAAAGGGUCAUUGGAAGGUGGCUUUCUUUUCGGAGAAAGUGUUUAUAGCCUUUGGCCUCUGCAAUCGGAGAGAUUGAGGUCUGCAGCGUAGAUCCUUCGGGGUUAGAUAGCAUUUGUGCUAAGUUAUAGCCUUUCAUAGACAACUUGUUGACUAUGAUAAUCAUGUAGCUUACUCGCUUAUGCUAUUUUACCUACGCUUAGGAUGUUGACAGCAGUAUAGACUGU